AUAAUAAGAGCAGCAUGUAUACUAAAAUUGGAAGGAUACAGAGAAGAUUAGCAUGGCCCCUGCACAAGAGUGACAUGAAAAUUUGUGAAGCGUUCCAUAUUUUU